rnacentral:rRNA from 1 species
ACACGGCCCAGACUCCUACGGGAGGCAGCAGUGGGGAAUAUUGCACAAUGGGCGAAAGCCUGAUGCAGCGACGCCGCGUGAGGGAUGACGGCCUUCGGGUUGUAAACCUCUUUCAGCAGGGAAGAAGCGCAAGUGACGGUACCUGCAGAAGAAGCGCCGGCUAACUACGUGCCAGCAGCCGCGGUAAUACGUAGGGCGCAAGCGUUGUCCGGAAUUAUUGGGCGUAAAGAGCUCGUAGGCGGCUUGUCGCGUCGGAUGUGAAAGCCCGGGGCUUAACCCCGGGUCUGCAUUCGAUACGGGCAGGCUAGAGUUCGGUAGGGGAGAUCGGAAUUCCUGGUGUAGCGGUGAAAUGCGCAGAUAUCAGGAGGAACACCGGUGGCGAAGGCGGAUCUCUGGGCCGAUACUGACGCUGAGGAGCGAAAGCGUGGGGAGCGAACAGGAUUAGAUACCCUGGUAGUCCACGCCGUAAACGUUGGGAACUAGGUGUG